GCAGCUAUACAUGCAGUCGAGCGCGGGAAGCAGGCAGAUCCUCUUCGGAGGUGACGCCUGUGGAACGAGCGGCGGACGGGUGAGUAACACGUGGGCAACCUGCCUGUAAGACUGGGAUAACCCCGGGAAACCGGGGCUAAUACCGGAUAAUACUUUUCGUUGCAUAACGAGAAGUUGAAAGGCGGCUUUUAGCUGUCACUUACAGAUGGGCCCGCGGCGCAUUAGCUAGUUGGUAAGGUAACGGCUUACCAAGGCGACGAUGCGUAGCCGACCUGAGAGGGUGAUCGGCCACACUGGGACUGAGACACGGCCCAGACUCCUACGGGAGGCAGCAGUAGGGAAUCUUCCGCAAUGGACGAAAGUCUGACGGAGCAACGCCGCGUGAGUGAUGAAGGUUUUCGGAUCGUAAAACUCUGUUGUCAGGGAAGAACAAGUGCCGUUCGAAUAGGGCGGCACCUU
rnacentral:rRNA from 1 species